AGGCCAUCAACCUGGUUGGGUUCAGGUCUUACUCACCUCCUGUGGUCCAUGGUUCCAUGUCAGGCAUGUAUUAAAUGCACUUCAUGCUGAUAAGUCCUGCAGGAGCAGAGAAAGUCCUCAAAGUUGGUGUCUCUCUUUUUCUAUUUUGGCUGUUGGAGAUCAGAAACUAUUGAGUUUCAUGAAUUGACAAUUUGGAUUUUGGCUUUUAUGAUGGUGUUACCUUAACAUUCAGCACAGAAUCUUCCAACUGC